GACGAACGCUGGCGGCGUGCUUAACACAUGCAAGUCGAACGGAAAGGCCCUGCUUUUGUGGGGUGCUCGAGUGGCGAACGGGUGAGUAACACGUGAGUAACCUGCCCUUGACUUUGGGAUAACUUCAGGAAACUGGGGCUAAUACCGGAUAGGAGCUCCUGCUGCAUGGUGGGGGUUGGAAAGUUUCGGCGGUUGGGGAUGGACUCGCGGCUUAUCAGCUUGUUGGUGGGGUAGUGGCUUACCAAGGCUUUGACGGGUAGCCGGCCUGAGAGGGUGACCGGCCACAUUGGGACUGAGAUACGGCCCAGACUCCUACGGGGGGCAGCAGUGGGGAAUAUUGCACAAUGGGCGGAAGCCUGAUGCAGCAGCGCCGCGUGCGGGAUGACGGCCUUCGGGUUGUAAACCGCUUUCGCCUGUGACGAAGCGUGAGUGACGGUAAUGGGUAAAGAAGCACCGGCUAACUACGUG
rnacentral:rRNA from 1 species